rnacentral:rRNA from 1 species
AACGAACGCUGGCGGCAGGCCUAACGCAUGCAAGUCGAGCGAAGCCUUCGGGCUUAGCGGCGGACGGGUGAGUAACGCGUGGGAACGUGCCCUUUGGUACGGAAUAGCCCCGGGAAACUGGGAGUAAUACCGUAUGUGGUCGAGAGACGAAAGAUUUAUCGCCAAAGGAUCGGCCCGCGUCGGAUUAGGUAGUUGGUGGGGUAAUGGCCUACCAAGCCGACGAUCCAUAGCUGGUUUGAGAGGAUGAUCAGCCACACUGGGACUGAGACACGGCCCAGACUCCUACGGGAGGCAGCAGUGGGGAAUCCUAGACAAUGGGGGAAACCCUGAUCUAGCCAUGCCGCGUGAUCGAUGAAGGCCUUAGGGUUGUAAAGAUCUUUCAGUGGGGAAGAUAAUGACUGUACCCACAGAAGAAGCCCCGGCUAACUCCGUGCCAGCAGCCGCGGUAACAC